CUAAACAGGGACUAAACCAGGACUAAACCAGGACUAAACCGGGACUAAACCGGGACUGAACCGGGACUGAACCGGGACUGAACCGGGACUAAACCGGGACUAAACCGGGACUAAACCGGGACUAAACCGGGACUGAACCAGGACUGAACCAGGACUGAACCAGGACUAAACCAGGACUAAACCAGGACUAAACCAGGACUGAACCAGGACUAAACCAGGACUAAACCAGGACUGAACCAGGACUGAACCAGGACUGAACCAGGACUGAACCAGGACUAAACCAGGACUAAACCAGGACUGAACCAGGACUGAACCAGGACUGAACCAGGACUGAACCAGGACUAAACCAGGACUGAACCAGGACUAAACCAGGACUGAACCAGGACUAAACCAGGACUGAACCAGGACUAAACCAGGACUAAACCAGGACUGAACCAGGACUGAACCAGGACUAAACCAGGACUAAACCAGGACUAAACCAGGACUGAACCAGGAC
ensembl:lncRNA